CGUGCCACCUGGGGAAAUCGCUGGACUGCGUUUAAGAUCGCUACUCUGCAAUCCGGAGAGAGCUUUGAAAAUCCUGUUCCGGUCCCCCUCAACCCAUCCUUGGUUGCUUCUCCCGGGCCCCAAAGAGGCCGAACUCUUCCUGGACUCUGUCAGUAUAGCUUUGAAGAAAAUCUUGAUACCUUCCGUUUUCGGGUGUUUCGGGCAAACAGAAGGAUGGAAAGGCUCGGGAGGGAGGUGAUGAUCAUCUGAAACUGUAAAAAAAAAAUUCCUCCUGGGUUUUGCUGAUGUCCAAAUCAGGCUUCGUCAUUUCUGUAAGUUUCACCUGCACUCUUGAGGGUGUUGUUUGUGAUGCAGGAGUUUGCAUUUCUGAGUCUUUUUUUUUUCUCUCUCACUUGUGCCAGUAUUGACUGGACAUCAUAUCUAUUGAUUAAGGGAGUUAGGGACAUCCACAUACUUUGAAGUAAGUGUGAAGCAAAUUAAUGAACUGCUUUCUUUCUCUGAAGGCUGAUGCUUACCAUAAAUGUCGUGUUUCUCCCUGCAAGCCCCUCUGAAUGAUUUUAGCGUGUUGAGAAGGCGUGACAGGCCAGCCCAGAAGGAGGAAGGGGUGGGGGAAGGAGGGAACUCCGUUUAACAAAUAAAAGAGAAUUAACUUCAUUGCUUUGGUCUCCUUCUGUAAUGAUAUUCAUUUUAAGAACCUAAUAUACAGUUGUUCAAAUUUGGGGUUUAACUUUAAUCAAUACCGUCAUUCUCAAAGGUGGCAGGAAGUGCCUUGAAAUGAGACUCCUUCCUAUGAAUAGUUAUUUUAUCUUUUUAUGCUCCUAUCUUCUGGAAGGGAAAGAGGCAAGACUAUUAAAAAGUUAAAUGCUAAAGCAUGAGAGUAAACAGAGGUGUUAACUACUGUUUCCUCAAAACUGCCUGGAAAUAGAAAAACUCAGCAUCACGUGACUGCAAUUUUGAGCUACUCAAUUUUAAGUAACUCUAAGAUAAACUUCAUUUGUAUAAAUGCAUUUUAGAAUCACAUGUCAUUCUUCCUAUGACAAUGAGUCACAAUGUUGGUGUGAAUUUAGUGAAAAUACUAGAUUCUUCAAUUUGCAUGAUGCUUGCUUUCAGCUUUGGAGGCUUGUAAAGGUUUCUAUGUGCAGUUUUCAUUAGAAAUAUAUAUCAGUUUGUCACUAAUGUGUCAUAUACAUGCAUACAUUUAUAUACAUCAAAAUUUACACAUUUUGCUUACAUUUAUCGAAGUGAGGGGUUUGUCAAGGGCUUCUUUCUCCUUUGACUUCCUUUCUCCCCCUCCCUCAUGAAGUGGUUAGUGUUUGUACCAUGAGGCUAUGGAACAGCAAAGUUAAAACACUCACAGCCUUGCUUCUACUUUAAAUGAAACUAGUCUUUAUGGCACCCACCACCACCACACUUUGGAGAAGUAACCCAGCACACUUGAAUCCUGUACCAUGGAAGAGAACUGUAUGUAGUCCAUGACAGAUACAGACAGCCUGUUUGAGCCAUUGAGGGCAGAGUUCAGUUCACCUGUUUUGAUAUUGAUCAUUGCUUUGCAGUAUUGUUCCGUAAUAAUUGAGAUGUUUAAAGAAAAGGAGGUAGAAAUACAGGAAGUUCAGGUUUCCAGGCACCAAUUAAAAGUUUCCCCACCCAAUAAGAAGUUUAACAUGCUGGAAAGGAACAGGGGUAGACAGUGUGCUGUUUUCUUGCAAACCUGUGGGAUCCACCAUCAAUAAAGCUAAAUCUAUUAGCAUUCUGUAUGCAUCUGCAGCAUAAAUUUCAUUUGAAUUUCAAAUUUAAUAAACCAGGAGGUUUUUAAUCAUCCCUGGUUUUAUUUGUUUGAUAUUAACAUGCUUAUUGACCGGGUCUGGUGACCAGUUUGAUCAUUACAGGACAGCAAAAAGUUAAUUAAAACGACCACAGCCCCUUAAUCAUAUCAUCUGUCUCAUCCAUGUCGCUCUCUUUAUUACAGGUGAUGAUGGAUAGUCUCCCAGAUUAAUUUCUCUGUUUCUUCGAUUUGGACAACAGCUUUUGGGACCUAAUUUACAUCCUGGGAACUACUUACUCAAGUAUAUCUAACACCUUGCAGCUACAGUAUAUAUCAUCAUCUCUUUAGAUGGAGCAGAGAAAGGAGAAAUGUAGACUUUUUUUUUUGGUUGGUGGUGAUGAAGGUUUGGGGUGAGUGUGUGUGUGUGUGUGUGUGUGUGUGUGUGUGUGUGUGUGUUUCUCUUUGCAGGCGGGGUUGAAGAAUCUCUAGCGACCAAAGAAACCAGGUCCUAAAAGCAAAUCAGGGUGAUUUGAUCCCUACAUUCUCUUUCCGGAGAGCAGGGAGUGAGAUAUGCCUCUGCUUCUUAGUUAAUAAAUUAAAAUGCGUAGAUUCCGAGACAAGUUAAUAAAGGCAUUUGAAACCACUGAAUACAAAUGGAGAUUUAUAGUUUAAAAAAAUAUCAAAGUUAUCCAUGCUUUCAACUGUACGGCAGCACAUUUACAACAAAUAUAGUUUUGAAUACAAGUAUGGUCUACCUAUACAAGGAUAAAGUGGGGGAAGAGAGGGGGCAAGAAUAGGGAAAGCCUGGUGGAUGAAGGCACGGUAACUGCGCGCGUACCUCUGCAGGGUACGGAUAAAACAGCUGCAGGCGUCUGGAUAGCCAGAGACUUGGCGGCGGCGAGUGCCCAGCUCUGCUAGCUGACCCGCGGGUGUCCUCCGCGAGCGAGCCAGGGAGCGCGGUGCCAGCGGCGCGACCCUGGCAGGCAAGAUAAGAAGGGACAGCCUCGCCCUUUCCCCACUGUGGGCACCCAGGGCAGGAACGCGUAGAUAAAGCGUGAAGCCGGGCGAGCGCCGCUGGCGGCCACGGGAUGAGAGGGUUGAACCAGGUGGGAGUAGGUGGGGGCUGCUGGGAAUUCUGUGGUCAAAGUUUCUUUCCUGUUGAAAAGAAAAGCCCGGCCAGGAUUGGACCUGUGGAUUCCCGAGUGCCCCCUCCACGGCCCAUCCCUGCUUUCGGGUGGUUCUACUUAAGAACUUGCCUGACAUUUCCUGGGAAGGGACGUAAUAAAAGCCCCUCGCUGGUGGCAGAUUGUUGAGCCGUGGGUGGGAAGGGAUCAGUCGGCUGGAGCUGAGAGAGGGCUGUAUUUUCCUGAUUGGAAAAUGGGAACUUCCACGCUGAACAAUAGCCCCUAUUAGCGAGGUUAUUCGGUUUCAACUGUCCGGCCACAUUUACAGCCGGGUCCCUACUUUCCUGGCAUCGCUUAAUUGGAUGCAUUUGUUGGCCACAGCGAAGCCGCCAUGACUCUUGAGCUACUGUCCCCGGGGACUCUCGCAAAGCAUUAUUUCUUGAAUAAAUGAGAGUAUUUUCUUUUUCUCUUUGCCUCUGUCUGAAUCGAUUCGAUAUAUUCUUCCAUUUCUCCUUAAUAUUUAUUGGUUUUCUUCUCUGUCAUUUUUAAAGCAUUCAAAGUUAGGAUCACUUCAUAAUUAAAAGAUGUUUACCGGUUUAA